CGGGGGGUGCAAGCGUUGUUCGGAUUUAUUGGGUUUAAAGGGUGCGUAGGCGGUUUUCUAAGUCAGCAGUGAAAUACGGCAGCUCAACUGUCGAGGUGCUGUUGAUACUGGGGAACUUGAGUACUGAUGAGGUAGGCGGAAUGGACGGUGUAGCGGUGAAAUGCUUAGAGAUCGUCCAGAACACCGAUAGCGAAGGCAGCUUACUAAGGAGUAACUGACGCUGAGGCACGAAAGUGUGGGGAUCAAACAGGAUUAGAUACCCUGGUAGUCCACACUGUAAACGAUGAUUACUCGAUGUGUGCGAUACACAGCACGCGUCUUAGCAAAAGCGAUAAGUAAUCCACCUGGGGAGUACGCCGGCAACGGUG
rnacentral:rRNA from 1 species